UUGGCGGAGCCAUCCUUGGGAUACCACCCUUGUAGUACUGGGACUCUAACCAUAGGCCAUGAAUCUGGUCUUGGGACACUGUCAGGUGGGCAGUUUGACUGGGGCGGUCGCCUCCCAAAAGGUAACGGAGGCGCUCAAAGGUUCUCUCAGUACGGUCGGAAAUCGUACGUAGAGUGUAAAGGCAAAAGAGAGCUUGAUUGCAAGACAUACAGGUCGAGCAAGGAUGAAAAUCGGACUUAGUGAUCCGGUGGUUCUGCGUGGAAGGGCCAUCGCUCAACGGAUAAAAGCUACCCUGGGGAUAACAGGCUUAUCUCCCCCAAGAGUCCACAUCGACGGGGAGGUUUGGCACCUCGAUGUCGGCUCAUCACAUCCUGGGGCUGUAGUAGGUCCCAAGGGUUGGGCUGUUCGCCCAUUAAAGUGGUACGCGAGCUGGGUUCAGAACGUCGUGAGACAGUUCGGUCCCUAUCCGUCGCAGGCGUAGGAAAUUUGAGAAGACCUGUCCUUAGUACGAGAGGACCGGGAUGGACGUACCUCUGGUGUACCAGUUGUUCUGCCAAGGGCAUGGCUGGGUAGCUAUGUACGGAAUGGAUAAGCGCUGAAAGCAUCUAAGCGCGAAGCCAACU
rnacentral:rRNA from 1 species